GUGGGAAAAGCUCAACUUUGUAAUCUGGCAGCUUUGCUGUCCGAGUUGUAGUCUCGAGAAAUGUUUUCCGCGCUGGCAUGUGUAUGAGUCUGUUGGAAUACAGCGUCAUAGAGGGUGAGAACCCCGUUCAUGACACAUCUCCCAGUGCUUUGUGAUACAUUUUCGAUGAGUCGAGUUGUUUGGGAAUGCAGCUCAAAAUGGGUGGUAAAUUCCAUCUAAAGCUAAAUAUUGGCGAGAGACCGAUAGCAAACAAGUACCGUGAGGGAAAGAUGAAAAGCACUUUGGAAAGAGAGUUAAAAGUACGUGAAAUUGUUGAAAGGGAAACGCUUGAAGUCAGACGUGCGCAGUGCGAUUCAGCUCUAUUUCGGUAGAGUGUAUUUCGUGCUAUUGCAGGCCAGCAUCGGUUUUGCGAGCCGGAUAAAGGUUAGUGGAAGGUAGCAUCUUCGGAUGUGUUAUAGCCUCUAACUGAAUACGGAUUGCGAGACCGAGGGACG
rnacentral:rRNA from 1 species